rnacentral:rRNA from 1 species
GAACGAACGCUGGCGGCAGGCCUAACACAUGCAAGUCGAACGAAGGCCCGGAGCUUGCUCUGGUUACCUUAGUGGCGGACGGGUGAGUAACACGUGGGAAUUUGCCCAAGAGUGGGGAAUAACAGUUGGAAACGACUGCUAAUACCGCAUACUCCCUUCGGGGGAAAGGCUUCGGCCGCUCUUGGAUAAGCCCGCGCCAGAUUAGCUUGUUGGUGAGGUAAAGGCUCACCAAGGCGACGAUCUUUAGCGGGUCUGAGAGGACGAUCCGCCACAUUGGGACUGAGACACGGCCCAGACUCCUACGGGAGGCAGCAGUGGGGAAUAUUGGACAAUGGGCGCAAGCCUGAUCCAGCCAUACCGCGUGUGUGAAGAAGGCCCUAGGGUUGUAAAGCACUUUAAGUUGGGAAGAAAAGUUAUUGGCUAAUAUCCAAUAACCGUGACAUUACCAUCAGAAUAAGGACCGGCUAAUUCCGUGCCAGCAGCCGCGGUAAUACGGAAGGUCCAAGCGUUAAUCGGAAUUACUGGGCGUAAAGCGCGCGUAGGUGGUUUAUUAAGUUGGAUGUGAAAUCCCCGGGCUCAACCUGGGAACUGCAUCCAAAACUGAUUCACUAGAGUACGAUAGAGGGAGGUAGAAUUCACAGUGUAGCGGUGGAAUGCGUAGAUAUUGUGAAGAAUACCAAUGGCGAAGGCAGCCUCCUGGAUCUGUACUGACACUGAGGUGCGAAAGCGUGGGUAGCGAACAGGAUUAGAUACCCUGGUAGUCCACGCCGUAAACGAUGUCAACUAGCUGUUGGAAAACUAUGUUUUUCAGUGGCGCAGCUAACGUAGUAAGUUGACCGCCUGGGGAGUACGGCCGCAAGGCUAAAACUCAAAUGAAUUGACGGGGACCCGCACAAGCGGUGGAGCAUGUGGUUUAAUUCGAUGCAACGCGAAAAACCUUACCUAUACUUGACAUACUUGGAAUGCUUUGUAAUGAAGCAGUGCCUUCGGGAGCUAAGAUACAGGUGCUGCAUGGCUGUCGUCAGCUCGUGUCGUGAGAUGUUCCGUUAAGUCGGAUAACGAGCGCAACCCUUACCCUUAUUUGCCAGCGAUUCGGUCGGGAACUAUAAGGGGACUGCCGGUGAUAAACCGGAGGAAGGUGAGGACGACGUCAAGUCAUCAUGGCCCUUACGUAUAGGGCUACACACGUGCUACAAUGGAGAAUACAGACGGACGCUAAGCCGCGAGGUGGUGCCAAUCCUAGAAAAUUCUUCGUAGUCCGGAUUGGAGUCUGCAACUCGACUCCAUGAAGUCGGAAUCGCUAGUAAUCGCGAAUCAGCAUGUCGCGGUGAAUACGUUCUCGGGUCUUGUACACACCGCCCGUCAAGGG